ACGAACGCUGGCGGCGUGCUUCACCCAUGCAAGUCGAACGGAAAGGCCCUGCUUUUGUGGGGUGCUCGAGUGGCGAACGGGUGAGUAACACGUGAGUAACCUGCCCUUGACUUUUGGAUUACUUCAGGAAACUUGGGCUAAUACCGGAUAGGAGCUCCUGCUGCAUGGUGGGUGUUGGAAAGUUUCGGCGGUUGGGGAUGGACUCGCGGCUUAUCAGCUUGUUGGUGGGGUAGUGGCUUACCAAGGCUUUGACGGGUAGCCGGCCUGAGAGGGUGACCGGCCACAUUGGGACUGAGAUACGGCCCAGACUCCUACGGGAGGCAGCAGUGGGGAAUAUUGCACAAUGGGCGGAAGCCUGAUGAAGCAACGCCGCGUGCGGGAUGACGGCCUUCGGGUUGUAAACCGAUUUCGCCUGUGACGAAGCGUGAGUGACGGUAAUGGGUAAAGAAGCACCGGCUAACUACGUG
rnacentral:rRNA from 1 species